UUUUCUGUAUAAGCGCCAGAACUAAACCCAUGUGGUGGGAUUUAGUUGACGAGGUGGAGGUUAUCGAAAUGUUCGGCGGGAGCCUCCCAGCUUACAUGUGCGGGCUGCAACUCUUUUUACCAAAACAGUUUGGCGACAAACUGGACAGAAUAAAGAGAGAAGCACAUA
rfam:Bacillus sp. FJAT-27916 Scaffold1, whole genome shotgun sequence.